GGGUGCGGCGCGCCAUCCUGAAGCUUCCGGUGCCCUCGCCUUGGCCUGGAGUGGCCGGAGUCGGCGGGGCCAGCGCCGGCAGCGCCCCUGUCCUCCUCCUCUGCUUCCUGUCGUGGCCAGGCACGGGAGGAAGAAGAAAACAGGGGGAGGAGAGAGAAGGAUAAGGUGGGCCCCGCAUGUCAUCCUCUGCCCAUUGACCCCGCCACUGCCACGUCACGGACCCAUUGGUGAUAAAAUCUUCACAGAUUGGUCCUUGAUCUUCAACUCCUCACAACUCCGCAACCGUAACUCCGAUUGAGCCCCCUCCAAGAGAAAACCGUCGGACGUUUUGUUCCGCGUCUUCACCGCACUUCUUCCUGGAGUCUCCGUCACCCCAGGCAAGCCACAAUACCCACUUGCAUGAUAGUCAUGCAGUAGCCAUGGUUUUCAACUUGAAUAUUUAUUAAAUGUUUGCUUGUUUAAAAUAUGGUUAUAGUUGUUUCAGCAAUGCUUGUGGAUGAAUGCUUACUUUCUUACUAUGUUGUUAUGCACCUGGUUGGCAUGCCCUGCUAGUUGUUAGUAUUCCUUUCGUAUGCUUAUGCUUUCUAGUAGUACAUAUUGAUGUUGGUAAUGGUCUUCUGUGCAUGACUGCCGUCUGUCCCGAGUACAGUUGUUAUGCAUGUUCCAUUGC